rnacentral:rRNA from 1 species
GACCCGUCUUGAAACACGGACCAAGGAGUCUAACAUGUAUGCGAGUUGGUGGGUGGAAAACCCAUGAAGCGUAAGUAACCUGACUGGUGGGAUGGCCUGUGCCUGCACCAUCGACCGACCAUGAUCUUAUGUGAAAGGUUUGAGUGCGAGCAUACCUGUUGGGACCCGAAAGAUGGUGAACUAUGCCUGAGCAGGGUGAAGCCAGAGGAAACUCUGGUGGAGGCUCGUAGAUGUGCUGACGUGCAAAUCGCUUUUCGGACUUGGGUAUAGGGGCGAAAGACUAAUCGAACCAUCUAGUAGCUGGUUCCCUCCGAAGUUUCCCCCAGGAUAGCUGGAGCUUGAUUCAGUUUCGUCAGGUAAAGCGAAUGAUUAGAGGUUCGGGGGAUGAAACAUCCUUCACCUAUUCUCAAACUUUAAAUAGGCGAGACGCGUAGGUUGCUUAAUUGAACCUGCGCAAUCAAUGUGAGCUCCAAGUGGGCCAUUUUUGGUAAGCAGAACUGGCGAUGCGGGAUGAACCGAUAGCUGAGUUAAGGUGCCAAACUACGCGCUAACCUAGAUCCCACAAAGGGUGUUGAUUGAUAUAGACAGCAGGACGGUGGUCAUGGAAGUCGAAAUCCGCUAAGGAGUGUGU